rnacentral:rRNA from 1 species
GAUGAACGCUGGCGGCGUGCCUAAUACAUGCAAGUCGAGCGAACAGACGAGGAGCUUGCUCCUCUGACGUUAGCGGCGGACGGGUGAGUAACACGUGGAUAACCUACCUAUAAGACUGGGAUAACUUCGGGAAACCGGAGCUAAUACCGGAUAAUAUAUUGAACCGCAUGGUUCAAUAGUGAAAGACGGUUUUGCUGGCACUUAUAGAUGGAUCCGCGCCGCAUUGGCUAGUUGGUAAGGUAACGGCUUACCAAGGCAACGAGGCGUAGCCGACCUGAGAGGGUGAUCGGCCACACUGGAACUGAGACACGGUCCAGACUCCUACGGGAGGCAGCAGUAGGGAAUCUUCCGCAAUGGGCGAAAGCCUGACGGAGCAACGCCGCGUGAGUGAUGAAGGUCUUCGGAUCGUAAAACUCUGUUAUUAGGGAAGAACAAAUGUGUAAGUAACUAUGCACGUCUUGACGGUACCUAAUCAGAAAGCCACGGCUAACUACGUG